CACCGCCUGUCACUACUACUGAUUGGAUGGUUUAGUGAGGCCCUCGGAUCGGCCCCGCCGGGGUCGGCCCACGGCCCUGGCGGAGCGCUGAGAAGACGGUCGAACUUGACUAUCUAGAGGAAGUAAAAGUCGUAACAAGGUUUCCGUAGGUGAACCUGCGGAAA
rnacentral:ncRNA from 1 species